UACAGAGGGGGCAAGCGUUGUUCGGAAUUACUGGGCGUAAAGGGCGCGUAGGCGGCCUGCUAAGUCGAACGUGAAAUCCCUGGGCUCAACCCAGGAACUGCGUCCGAUACUGGUUGGCUUGAAUCCGGGAGAGGGAUGUGGAAUUCCAGGUGUAGCGGUGAAAUGCGUAGAUAUCUGGAGGAACACCGGUGGCGAAGGCGGCAUCCUGGACCGACAUUGACGCUGAGGCGCGAAAGCCAGGGAGCAAACGGG
rnacentral:rRNA from 1 species